rnacentral:rRNA from 1 species
CCUACGGGUGGCAGCAGUGAGGAAUAUUGGUCAAUGGACGAGAGUCUGAACCAGCCAAGUAGCGUGAAGGAUGACUGCCCUAUGGGUUGUAAACUUCUUUUAUAUGGGAAUAAAAUGUUCCACGUGUGGGAUUUUGUAUGUACCAUAUGAAUAAGGAUCGGCUAACUCCGUGCCAGCAGCCGCGGUAAUACGGAGGAUCCGAGCGUUAUCCGGAUUUAUUGGGUUUAAAGGGAGCGUAGGCGGAUUGUUAAGUCAGUUGUGAAAGUUUGCGGCUCAACCGUAAAAUUGCAGUUGAAACUGGCAGUCUUGAGUACAGUAGAGGUGGGCGGAAUUCGUGGUGUAGCGGUGAAAUGCUUAGAUAUCACGAAGAACUCCGAUUGCGAAGGCAGUUCACUGGACUGCAACUGACACUGAGGCUCGAAAGUGUGGGUAUCAAACAGGAUUAGAUACCCUAGUAGUC